UCCCCAGUGGCCAAGUCGGCAAGGCACCGUGCUUAUAACGCGGAAAUCCCGAGUUCGAUCCUCGGCUGGGGAA
rnacentral:tRNA from 1 species